rnacentral:lncRNA from 1 species
UGAAAUAUGUUCACACAGAAUACGUUUCUGGCGCUGGUUCCAAUGUUUCCGCCAUCAUGAUGGUAAGCAAUGAAACGAGUGACCAGAAAGUCUAUUGACAUUCUUCUACGUGAAUGGCACAAUACACGAACACGGAAGAAAAUACUUAGCAAUGAGGUAAACAACUAUAAGAAGUGAAGAAGGAAAGAAAAUAGCAACAACAGUCCAGAAAGAAGCAUGGUUGAGCAGACGACAGCGCAAGUACAGUCAGAGGUGGACAGAAGAAGAGAAGGAAAAAUGAGAAAAAAGAACAGUUUACAAACAAACAGACUAAAUGAACAGAGACUUUAGUGUUGCAUAAACAGUGAUAAAAUCAGAUACAGUUAUUUAUAAAAAGACAGUUUAAGGAAAUAAUGAAAGAUGUUAGCUAACGUGAGCACAAAGUUCUCGGAGUUAGCUUUUAGGAUUGUCGGAUGUCCGUUGGCAUCAUUUAGUCGUCCACGGCCAGGCUGUUCCUUUCUCUAGCAUUUGCAAUUCGAAAGCAAUCUUCAUCAAACUUAGGCACAAUUUACUUGUAUAUGACUAUAAACUGUUGGUCGAGCUUUAUUAUGCGUCCAGUCAAACAAUUAGAAGAAGAGUUAUGGUCCCUGAUUCAUUUAAAAUACCAUGUUCAGCCUUUAUUUCUAAUCCGAUUUUAAUGAAAUGUACAUACCCGUAAGAUAACUAUACCCCAGAUGCAAAGUAUGUGGUUAUAUUGAGGUCACACAUGUCCAUCCGUCUGUAUUAAUGUCUGUUCCAUAUCUUUUUAAUGGCUCGGAAUAUUUUCAUAAAACUUGUCAAUCGUUAGUCUCAUGAAGACGACGACAGAGCACACAAUUUAGGUCACAUUGUCUUAGGUCAAGGUCACACUUCUUAGUCAAAUGUCAGAUAGCUUAAAUUAAUGUCCCCUCUAUAUCUUCAAAACGACUUUGAAUAGUUUCGUAGAACUAGCCUCUACUAUUGCCCUCGUCAAGAGUGCACAACUAGGGUCACUAGGUCCAAGAUGAAAUUAACACUUUGAACUCAGAUAGCUUAAACUUGUGUCUGUUCCAACUCUUAUUCAACCACUAAGACGACUUUCAUUAACUAGCAACAAUUGAUAACACCAUUGAGAUGAUACACAGAAUGCACAACCCAUGUCACUACGGCUAAGGUCACACUUGCAGGCCAAAAAUCAAAUGCCGAAAUUUAUGUCAUCUCUUUUUAUCUUUUUAACCACUUAAAUGAUUUUCAUUAAUCAGAAUCAGUUGUUAGCCUCAUCCCGACAUGAAGAACGCAUAAGCAUGAUCACAAUGUCAAUGGUCAAGGUCACACUUACAGGUCAAAGAUCAAAAUGCUAAAAUUUAUGUCCGUUUAAUAUAUUCUUAACCACUGGAAGUAUUUUCAUAAAUCAGAAUUAGAUGUUAACCUCGUCCAGACAUGAAGAGCGCAUAACCUAGAUCACAAUGUCCAAGGUCAAGCAAACCUAGAGGUCAACUAUCCGAUAACUCAGUUUUUGCGUGCACACUAUUUCUUCUUAACCACUAAAAUGAAUUUCAUAAAGUUGCGUCAAUUCUUAUCCUUAUCAAGGCGAUAUGCAGAGCCAAGGUCAAAGGGCAGGGUCAUUCUUAGGAGGACAAUUAUCAGAGAACUUAGUUUUGUCCACUGUAUAUCAUCUUAACCACUGUUUUAAUUUCACCAAGACCACAUGCAGAGUGCAAACCCAUGUCAGAGGUCAAGGCCACAUACAGAGCGCAAACCCAUGUCAAAGGUCAAGGUCACAAAAAUCAAUCUUAUCAAGACAACGUGCAAAUUGCAAAGCGCUGGUCAUAAGGUUUAAGGUCAAGGUCACACUUUAAGACCAAAGGUCAUGAUCACAACACUUUAUUUAGCCUAAAAUAAAAAGAUGUUAUUCACAGACUAGUCUAAGUGAUAGCUCUAGUUAGGGAUCAGUCAAAAUGUUAGGUUCAAAGUUUCAGUUUAUGUACAUCUAGUACCGUCACUUCUUUGAAAUUUCAAUUAAAAUUUUCAUAGAAAAUACGUAACAGAUAUAUGCAUGUACACAUGUAUACGGCAUUUAAAAAUAUAUAGACAUGUUCGAAAGUGUCCAUCUAAGUUUGUUCCGAAUGCUUAUAUGAUAAAAUGAUAAAAUGAAAUGAUAUACUGAAAUGUUAAAUGAAAUGAUAAAAUGAAAUUCGCCAAGAAUAAUGUCAUAAUGAUGUUACGUCAGUCGGUGACUGUC